UACGUAGGGUGCAGGCGUUAAUCGGAAUUACUGGGCGUAAAGCGUGCGCAGGCGGUUUCUUAAGUCAGGUGUGAAAGCCCCGGGCUCAACCUGGGAAUUGCAUUCGAUACUGGAUAGCUAGAGUUCGGCAGAGGGAAGCGGAAUUUCCGGUGUAGCGGUGAAAUGCGUAGAUAUCGGAAGGAACAUCAGUGGCGAAAGCGGCUUCCUGGACCAGAACUGACGAUCAGGCUCGAAAGCGUGGGGAGCAAACAGG
rnacentral:rRNA from 1 species